AACGUAGGUACCAAGCGUUAUCCGGAUUCACUGGGCGUAAAGCGCGUUCAGGCGGCUCAGCAAGUCGGGCAUGAAAUCUUUCGGCCUAACCGAGAGAGGCUGUCCGAUACUGCUGAGCUUGAGGGCAGUAGAGGGUGGUGGAAUUCCGCAUGUAGUGGUGAAAUGCGUAGAUAUGCGGAGGAACACCAGUGGCGAAGGCGGCCACCUGGACUGUACCUGACGCUGUAGCGCGAAAGCUAGGGUAGCGAACGGG
rnacentral:rRNA from 1 species